rnacentral:rRNA from 1 species
GACGAACGCUGGCGGCGUGCUUAACACAUGCAAGUCGAACGGAAAGGCCCUGCUUUUGUGGGGUGCUCGAGUGGCGAAAGGGUGAGUAACACGGGAGUAACCUGCCCUUGACUUUGGGAUAACUUCAGGAAACUGGGGCUAAUACCGGAUAGGAGCUCCUGCUGCAUGGUGGGGGUUGGAAAGUUUCGGCGGUUGGGGAUGGACUCGCGGCUUAUCAGCUUGUUGGUGGGGUAGUGGCUUACCAAGGCUUUGACGGGUAGCCGGCCUGAGAGGGUGACCGGCCACAUUGGGACUGAGAUACGGCCCAGACUCCCACGGGAGGCAGCAGUGGGGAAUAUUGCACAAUGGGCGGAAGCCUGAUGCAGCAACGCCGCGUGCGGGAUGACGGCCUUCGGGUUGUAAACCGCUUUCGCCUGUGACGAAGCGUGAGUGACGGUAAUGGGUAAAGAAGCACCGGCUAACUACGUG